GGCAAGGUGGUGCAGUGGGUGGCACCGUUGCCUCACAGCAAGAAGGUCCUGGGUUCGAACCCCCGCCCGGGCC
rnacentral:tRNA from 1 species